rnacentral:rRNA from 1 species
AGAGUUUGAUCAUGGCUCAGGAUGAACGCUGACAGAAUGCUUAACACAUGCAAGUCUAUUCAAGUUACCUUCGGGUAAUGAGGAUGGCGGACGGGUGAGUAACGCGUAAAGAACUUGCCCUGCAGUCUGGGACAACAUUUGGAAACGAAUGCUAAUACCGGAUAUUAUGUGAGUUUCGCAUGAAAUUCAUAUGAAAGYUAUAUGCGCUGCAGGAGAGCUUUGCGUCCUAUUAGCUAGUUGGUGAGGUAACGGCUCACCAAGGCCAUGAUAGGUAGCCGGCCUGAGAGGGUGAACGGCCACAAGGGGACUGAGACACGGCCCUUACUCCUACGGGAGGCAGCAGUGGGGAAUAUUGGACAAUGGACCAUAAGUCUGAUCCAGCAAUUCUGUGUGCACGAUGAAGUUUUUCGGAAUGUAAAGUGCUUUCAGUUGGGACGAAGUAAGUGACGGYACCAACAGAAGAAGCGACGGCUAAAUACGUGCCAGCAGCCGCGGUAAUACGUAUGUCGCAAGCGUUAUCCGGAUUUAUUGGGCGUAAAGCGCGUCUAGGCGGUUUGGUAAGUCUGAUGUGAAAAUGCGGGGCUCAACUCCGUAUUGCGUUGGAAACUGCCAAACUAGAGUACUGGAGAGGUGGRCGGAAYUACAAGUGUAGAGGUGAAAUUCGUAGAUAUUUGUAGGAAUGCCGAUGGGGAAGCCAGCCCACUGGACAGAUACUGACGCUAAAGCGCGAAAGCGUGGGUAGCAAACAGGAUUAGAUACCCUGGUAGU